AACGAACGCUGGCGGCAUGCCUAACACAUGCAAGUCGAACGAGACCUUCGGGUCUAGUGGCGCACGGGUGCGUAACGCGUGGGAAUCUGCCCUUGGGUCUGGAAUAACAGUUAGAAAUGACUGCUAAUACCGGAUGAUGACUUCGGUCCAAAGAUUUAUCGCCCAGGGAUGAGCCCGCGUCGGAUUAGCUAGUUGGUGGGGUAAAAGCUCACCAAGGCGACGAUCCGUAGCUGGUCUGAGAGGAUGAUCAGCCACACUGGGACUGAGACACGGCCCAGACUCCUACGGGAGGCAGCAGUGGGGAAUAUUGGACAAUGGGCGAAAGCCUGAUCCAGCAAUGCCGCGUGAGUGAUGAAGGCCUUAGGGUUGUACAGCUCUUUUACCCGGGAUGAUAAUCACAGUACCGGGAGAAUAAGCCCCGGCUAACUCCGUGCCAGCAGCCGCCGUAACAC
rnacentral:rRNA from 1 species